rnacentral:rRNA from 1 species
GAUGAACGCUAGCGGCAGGCCUAACACAUGCAAGUCGAGGGAGAGGUUACCUUCGGGUAACCAAAACCGGCGCACGGGUGCGUAACGCGUAUACAAUCUGCCUUUCACAUAGGGAUAGCCCGAAGAAAUUUGGAUUAAUACCUAAUGGUAUAUAAGAGCGGCAUCGUUUUUAUAUUAAAGCUACGGUGGUGAAAGAUGAGUAUGCGUUCUAUUAGCUAGUUGGAGAGGUAACGGCUCCCCAAGGCGACGAUAGAUAGGGGUUCUGAGAGGGAUGUCCCCCACACUGGUACUGAGAUACGGACCAGACUCCUACGGGAGGCAGCAGUGAGGAAUAUUGGACAAUGGUCGGAAGACUGAUCCAGCCAUGCCGCGUGCAGGAUGAAGGUCCUAUGGAUUGUAAACUGCUUUUGUAAGGGAAGAAUAAGGAGUACGUGUACUUUGAUGACGGUACCUGACGAAUAAGCAUCGGCUAACUCCGUG